GUGCCAGCCGCCGCGGUAAUACAGAGGGUGCGAGCGUUAAUCGGAUUUACUGGGCGUAAAGCGUGCGUAGGUGGCCACUUAAGUCGGAUGUGAAAUCCCCGAGCUCAACUUGGGAAUUGCAUUCGAUACUGGGUGGCUAGAGUAUAGGAGAGGAAGGUAGAAUUCCAGGUGUAGCGGUGAAAUGCGUAGAGAUCUGGAGGAAUACCGAUGGCGAAGGCAGCCUUCUGGCCUAAUACUGACGCUGAGGUACGAAAGCAUGGGGAGCAAACAGGAUUAGAUACCCUGGUAGUCCAUGCCGUAAACGAUGUCUACUAGCCGUUGGGGCCUUUGAGGCUUUAGUGGCGCAGCUAACGCGAUAAGUAGACCGCCUGGGGAGUACGGUCGCAAGACUAAAACUCAAAUGAAUUGACGGGGGCCCGCACAAGCGGUGGAGCAUGUGGUUUAAUUCGAUGCAACGCGAAGAACCUUACCUGGCCUUGACAUACUAGAAACUUUCCAGAGAUGGAUUGGUGCCUUCGGGAAUCUAGAUACAGGUGCUGCAUGGCUGUCGUCAGCUCGUGUCGUGAGAUGUUGGGUUAAGUCCCGCAACGAGCGCAACCCUUUUCCUUAUUUGCCAGCACUUCGGGUGGGAACUUUAAGGAUACUGCCAGUGACAAACUGGAGGAAGGCGGGGACGACGUCAAGUCAUCAUGGCCCUUACGGCCAGGGCUACACACGUGCUACAAUGGUCGGUACAAAGGGUUGCUACCUAGCGAUAGGAUGCUAAUCUCAAAAAGCCGAUCGUAGUCCGGAUUGGAGUCUGCAACUCGACUCCAUGAGGUCGGAAUCG
rnacentral:rRNA from 1 species